AUACGGAAGGUCCGGGCGUUAUCCGGAUUUAUUGGGUUUAAAGGGAGCGCAGGCGGAGAUGCAAGCGUGACGUCAAAUUUCGGGGCUCAACCCCGUCUCGCGUCGCGAACUGCGUCCCUUGGUUGCGGGAAGGGGAGGCGGAACUCGUGGUGUAGCGGUGAAAUGCAUAGAUAUCACGAAGAACUCCGAUCGCGAAGGCAGCCUUCCGGCCCGUCAACGACGCUCAUGCUCGAAGGUGCGGGUAUCAAACAGGAUUAGAUACCCUGGUAGUCCGCACAGUAAACGAUGGACACCCGCGGUUUGGCCUAUAUGGCUGAGCCGCCAAGCGAAAGCGUUAAGUGUCCCACCUGGGGAGUACGCCGGCAACGGUGAAACUCAAAUGAAUUGACGGG
rnacentral:rRNA from 1 species